rnacentral:rRNA from 1 species
GACGUAGGGCGCAAGCGUUGUCCGGAUUUAUUGGGCGUAAAGAGCUCGUAGGCGGUUUGUUGCGUCGGCUGUGAAAUCCCGAGGCUCAACCUCGGGUCUGCAGUCGAUACGAGCAAACUAGAGUGUUGCAGGGGAGACUGGAAUUCCUGGUGUAGCGGUGAAAUGACGCAGAUAUCAGGAGGAACACCGGUGGCGAAGGCGGGUCUCUGGGCAACAACUGACGCU